UUGAUCUUGGGUUUCAGUUGAACGCUGGCGGCAGGCCUAACACAUGCAAGUCGAGCGGAUGACAGGAGCUUGCUCCUGAAUUCAGCGGCGGACGGGUGAGUAAUGCCUAGGAAUCUGCCUGGUAGUGGGGGACAACGUUUCGAAAGGAACGCUAAUACCGCAUACGUCCUACGGGAGAAAGCAGGGGACCUUCGGGCCUUGCGCUAUCAGAUGAGCCUAGGUCGGAUUAGCUAGUUGGUGAGGUAAUGGCUCACCAAGGCGACGAUCCGUAACUGGUCUGAGAGGAUGAUCAGUCACACUGGAACUGAGACACGGUCCAGACUCCUACGGGAGGCAGCAGUGGGGAAUAUUGGACAAUGGGCGAAAGCCUGAUCCAGCCAUGCCGCGUGUGUGAAGAAGGUCUUCGGAUUGUAAAGCACUUUAAGUUGGGAGGAAGGGCAGUAACUUAAUACGUUGCUGUUUUGACGUUACCGACAGAAUAAGCACCGGCUAACUCUGUGCCAGCAGCCG
rnacentral:rRNA from 1 species